UCCAUGUAAUCCUGUGUACAACAUGUAUAUAGCUGCUGUUACAGACCAAGAACUCAUGGAAGGGCCACUCAGGAGGGGAAUAUACAUUUUACAGCAUAUGCAGCCUCGUGCAAGUUUAGAUGAGUGGAUUUGUACAUCUUAUGGCGAGUGGCCACCCCUGAGAUAUUACCUCAUUAUGCAGAAGUAACAUAUCCUUCAUGACUAUUUUGACAAAAGCUUAAAACCACAUCUGAUGGAAGUCCAACUUUCAGGAACCAAGGACUGCCAGAAAAUAUCUGCCUCUACGUUAUGCAUGCAUCUAGACGCUUACCUGAAUUCUGCCUUUUAUAAAGGAACAAACAGUAUGAAGAAGUGAACUGUACAUUUUUAAACUUGAUUGCCAUUAAAGCAGAAGUUACAAGGUUGCAAC
rnacentral:lncRNA from 1 species